UGACACUUCCAUUACUGCUCCAUUUAGUCGCCCAUCCAUUACACUGUCGCCAUUUUGCCUAAAAUCCUGCAGGUUGGACUAUAACUCGGAGAGGGGUGUCUGCUCGGUGGGCUUCGAAAUCGCAGCACCUUCUCAAGGCGACCUCGAAGGGUUUCAGUCUUGUAAACUUACAGGAAGGACACGCUGUUCGCUCUUGUCUGACUAGCUAAUACAGUCUUUCUGUCAUUUAUAGAGGUGGUCUUACGUGUCUAAGGGUGGACCCCUGCUCGGACUGUGGAUUAUUCCGAAAACAAGCGGUUAUAAAAUUCUAGGGUGAAGUUGCUGUGGCUCGAAAAAUGUCUUGGCUGGUGGGCAGAGAGUGUGAGAGGGCACAGUGACCUGCUCAGGGCAGUCCAGAAGACCUCAGUAGCUUAACAUUUGAUGCGGCCAGAAAUGGGUCUUCUGUGGAUUAUUUCAAAAUGAGGUCGUCAAAUUCUUGGCUGAGGUGGCUGUCAUCAGAUUGGAAAUCUAGUCUGUGGCUAAGAAGUCCUAAUAAAACUGCGAGGAGUCUGCUGAGUCACUGAUGUUCUGGUUUGGUGACCCUGCACCGAGGACACUGCAACUUUGCAAAUAGGUCUCCCCCAUUAUGCAUGAUGCGCCAAUUUGGGAGGGUGAAGGCUAGCACGUGCUCCCUCUGGGUGACCUUGAAGUGCUACAGGUUAGUUUUUUAACCUGAAUCAGCUCUCGUCACAGCUCAGUGAGUUCCAUUUGAGUUUACACAACUCAGUCUGGCCCGAGUCCAUCAUAAACACUUCCUCUACCAGUGA
ensembl:lncRNA